GUGCCUAAUACAUGCAAGUCGAGCGGACGGAUGGGAGCUUGCUCCCUGAAGUCAGCGGCGGACGGGUGAGUAACACGUGGGCAACCUGCCUGUAAGACUGGGAUAACUCCGGGAAACCGGGGGCUAAUACCGGAUAACUCUUUUCCUCACAUGAGGAAAAGCUGAAAGAUGGUUUCGGCUAUCACUUACAGAUGGGCCCGCGGCGCAUUAGCUAGUUGGUGAGGUAACGGCUCACCAAGGCCACGAUGCGUAGCCGACCUGAGAGGGUGAUCGGCCACACUGGGACUGAGACACGGCCCAGACUCCUACGGGAGGCAGCAGUAGGGAAUCUUCCGCAAUGGACGAAAGUCUGACGGAGCAACGCCGCGUGAGUGAUGAAGGUUUUCGGAUCGUAAAACUCUGUUGUCAGGGAAGAACAAGUACCGGAGUAACUGCCGGUACCUUGACGGUACCUGACCAGAAAGCCACGGCUAACUACGUGCCAGCAGCCGCGGUAAUAC
rnacentral:rRNA from 1 species